rnacentral:rRNA from 1 species
UGGCGCACGGGUGAGUAACGCGUACACAACCUACCCUUCAGUGGGGAAUAGCCCUGGGAAACUGGGAUUAAUACCCCAUAACAUUGAGGUCUUAAGAUUUCAAUUAAAGUUCCGACGCUGAAGGAUGGGUGUGCGUCCCAUUAGCUAGAUGGUAAGGUAACGGCUUACCAUGGCGACGAUGGGUAGGGGGCGUGAGAGCGUGAUCCCCCACACGGGUACUGAGACACGGACCCGACUCCUACGGGAGGCAGCAGUAAGGAAUAUUGGACAAUGGGCGAAAGCCUGAUCCAGCCAUCCCGCGUGCAGGAUGAAUGCCCUAUGGGUUGUAAACUGCUUUUAUGAAGGAAGAAACCCUUGGAUUUAUCCGAGGUUGACGGUACUUCAAGAAUAAGCACCGGCUAACUCCGUGCCAGCAGCCGCGGUAAUACGGAGGGUGCAAGCGUUAUCCGGAAUCACUGGGUUUAAAGGGUGCGUAGGCGGACAAAUAAGUCAGGGGUGAAAGACUUCGGCUCAACUGAAGAAUUGCCUUUGAUACUGUUUGUCUUGAAUUAGGUUGAGGUCAGCGGAAUGUGACAUGUAGCGGUGAAAUGCAUAGAUAUGUCAUAGAACACCAAUUGCGAAGGCAGCUGGCUAGGCCUGAAUUGACGCUGAGGCACGAAAGCGUGGGGAGCGAACAGGAU